AUGGUGAUCAUGAACCGCAUAAACAGCAACAAAGGCUUUAGGGAACAGGGGGAGAAUGUUAUGACUCAAUUAAAUGGCACAAAGAAAGCUUGUGAAAAAGAAGUCCUAAUUUCAUAUCGGACCUCUGGACGCAAUAGGUCUAUAACUCUCCAAUUUAGAAGAGAUAAAGAACAAGAAGAAAGAAGCAAUAGGCCUAUAAGUCUCCAAUUUAGAAGAGAUAAAGAACAAGAAAGAAGAGAAGGAAAACCUGCAUGUCACAUCCUCAACACUAUAAUUUAA